CGCACAGCGGGAUGCCGUGGUUAGCGCUCGCUCCUUGCUGCAAACUAUUUCCACGUGAUCUAUAUAGGUCAAAUUAUCAAGAUUUUGAAAAACCGGGCAGCAUUUUGAAAGACAAAGAACAGGAUUAAGCGGCUGUUUGCAAAGACUAAAUAUACCUUUUAAAAGAUCACAUGUAGUGAGAGGAAUUUGACAUAAUAAGGUUUGCUUAGGCACACCAUGCUGGAGGGAUUUACCAGGGUAUUUUUUCUUUAAGAAGAAUUAAAACAAAGAAGUCCAAGUGAUCCAAAUGCCAAAAGUGCCAAACAUGAUUUUCAAAGGAAGA